GCAAGUCGAGCGGUAACAGGUGUAGCUUGCUACCCGCUGACGAGCGCCGGACGGUUGAGUAAUGCAUAGGAAACUGCCCAGUAGUGGGGGAUAGCCCGGGGAAACCCGGAUUAAUACCGCAUACGUCCUUCGGGAGAAAGCAGGGGAUCUUCGGACCUUGCGCUAUGGGAUGUGCCUAUGUCGGAUUAGCUGGUUGGUGAGGUAAUGGCUCACCAAGGCGACGAUCCGUAGCUGGUCUGAGAGGAUGAUC
rnacentral:rRNA from 1 species